CACAUUUAUCGCAGUUAAUGAUUUUGGUUGUUGUAUUUUUCAUGUGAUUCCUUACAUCUGUUAUAACAAUCUGAAUCCCACCAUUCGUCAAGCAACAGAGAUCCGACCAUAAAUCUUGAAGGUAUGUUGUUUUACUCUGUUGUUUAUGUAGUAUACAUCUUUAAUCUAAGAGAUUGAACAUGUUUAUUUUUUUCUUAAACCAAAAUCUACAUCAGAUGGUUUUUGUUGAUUUUUGUUAUGUAUAAAAUCAAGUUUCCGGGUUUUUCUUAAUCAUCAAUACCACAUUUACCGCAGUUAAUGAUUUUGGUUGUUGUAUUUUUCAUGUGAUUCCUUACAUUUGUUAUAACAAUCUGAAUCCCACCAUUCGUCAAGCAACAGAGUUAUAGAUAUUUAUUUCUGAACCGAGUCUGUCCUCCAUAGUUUUUUCUGAUGUGAGUAUUUCUGAUUCGAUAUUUUGUUCGAAUUAUGAUAGUUACUUAUGUAUUUUUUUCAAUACGAA